AAUAGAUACCCCGGUAGUCCACGCCGUAAACGAUGAGUGCUAAGUGUUAGAGGGUUUCCGCCCUUUAGUGCUGAAGUUAACGCAUUAAGCACUCCGCCUGGGGGAGUACGGCCGCAAGGCUGAAACUCAAAGGAAUUGACGGGGGCCCGCACAAGCGGUGGAGCAUGUGGUUUAAUUCGAAGCAACGCGAAGAACCUUACCAGGUCUUGACAUCCUCUGACAACCCUAGAGAUAGGGCUUCUCCUUCGGGAGCAGAGUGACAGGUGGUGCAUGGUUGUCGUCAGCUCGUGUCGUGAGAUGUUGGGUUAAGUCCCGCAACGAGCGCAACCCUUGAUCUUAGUUGCCAUCAUUCAGUUGGGCACUCUAAGGUGACUGCCGGUGACAAACCGGAGGAAGGUGGGGAUGACGUCAAAUCAUCAUGCCCCUUAUGACCUGGGCUACACACGUGCUACGAAUGGACGGUACAAAGAGCUGCAAGACCGCGAGGUGGAGCUAAUCUCAUAAAACCGUUCUCAGUUCGGA
rnacentral:rRNA from 1 species